rnacentral:misc_RNA from 1 species
GAUGAAGAACGUAGCGAAAUGCGAUAAGUAAUGUGAAUUGCAGAAUUCAGUGAAUCAUCGAAUCUUUGAACGCACAUUGCGCCCGCCAGUAUUCUGGCGGGCAUGCCUGUUCGAGCGUCAUUUCAACCAUCAAGCCCCCGGGCCUGUGUUGGGGACCUGCGGCUGCCCGCAGGCCCCGAAAACCAGUGGCGGGCUCGCUGUCACCCCGAGCGUAGUAGCAACACCUCGCCCAGGGAGUGCCGCGGGCACCGGCCGUAAAACCUCCUCUCGCCCCCCCCGCGGGAGGGAACCCCCCAAAGGUUGACCUCGGAUCAGGUAGGAAGACCCGCUGAACUUAAGCAUAUCAAUAAGCGGAGGA